rnacentral:piRNA from 2 species
UGCUUUUGAGCUUGUGGUAAGGCACAC